rnacentral:tRNA from 1 species
GGAUCCAUGGCGCGACGGUUGCAGCGAAGGACUCCUGAUCCGUUGGUGGCAGGUGCGAAUCCCGCUAGUCCCGCCA